rnacentral:rRNA from 2 species
GUAGACGAACUCUGGUAUUGAUUGGUGCUUGCAUCAUGAUUUACAUUUGAGUGAGUGGCGAACUGGUGAGUAACACGUGGGAAACCUGCCCAGAAGCGGGGGAUAACACCUGGAAACAGAUGCUAAUACCGCAUAACAACUUGGACCGCAUGGUCCGAGCUUGAAAGAUGGCUUCGGCUAUCACUUUUGGAUGGUCCCGCGGCGUAUUAGCUAGAUGGUGGGGUAACGGCUCACCAUGGCAAUGAUACGUAGCCGACCUGAGAGGGUAAUCGGCCACAUUGGGACUGAGACACGGCCCAAACUCCUACGGGAGGCAGCAGUAGGGAAUCUUCCACAAUGGACGAAAGUCUGAUGGAGCAACGCCGCGUGAGUGAAGAAGGGUUUCGGCUCGUAAAACUCUGUUGUUAAAGAAGAACAUAUCUGAGAGUAACUGUUCAGGUAUUGACGGUAUUUAACCAGAAAGCCACGGCUAACUACGUGCCAGCAGCCGCGGUAAUACGUAGGUGGCAAGCGUUGUCCGGAUUUAUUGGGCGUAAAGCGAGCGCAGGCGGUUUUUUAAGUCUGAUGUGAAAGCCUUCGGCUCAACCGAAGAAGUGCAUCGGAAACUGGGAAACUUGAGUGCAGAAGAGGACAGUGGAACUCCAUGUGUAGCGGUGAAAUGCGUAGAUAUAUGGAAGAACACCAGUGGCGAAGGCGGCUGUCUGGUCUGUAACUGACGCUGAGGCUCGAAAGUAUGGGUAGCAAACAGGAUUAGAUACCCUGGUAGUCCAUACCGUAAACGAUGAAUGCUAAGUGUUGGAGGGUUUCCGCCCUUCAGUGCUGCAGCUAACGCAUUAAGCAUUCCGCCUGGGGAGUACGGCCGCAAGGCUGAAACUCAAAGGAAUUGACGGGGGCCCGCACAAGCGGUGGAGCAUGUGGUUUAAUUCGAAGCUACGCGAAGAACCUUACCAGGUCUUGACAUACUAUGCAAAUCUAAGAGAUUAGACGUUCCCUUCGGGGACAUGGAUACAGGUGGUGCAUGGUUGUCGUCAGCUCGUGUCGUGAGAUGUUGGGUUAAGUCCCGCAACGAGCGCAACCCUUAUUAUCAGUUGCCAGCAUUAAGUUGGGCACUCUGGUGAGACUGCCGGUGACAAACCGGAGGAAGGUGGGGAUGACGUCAAAUCAUCAUGCCCCUUAUGACCUGGGCUACACACGUGCUACAAUGGAUGGUACAACGAGUUGCGAACUCGCGAGAGUAAGCUAAUCUCUUAAAGCCAUUCUCAGUUCGGAUUGUAGGCUGCAACUCGCCUACAUGAAGUCGGAAUCGCUAGUAAUCGCGGAUCAGCAUGCCGCGGUGAAUACGUUCCCGGGCCUUGUACACACCGCCCGUCACACCAUGAGAGUUUGUAACACCCAAAGUCGGUGGGGUA